rnacentral:sRNA from 1 species
GGAGGUAAUCUAUCCUAGUACUACUCUCGCCCAAGCACCCUUAACUGCGGAGUUCUGAUGGGAUCCGGUGCAUUAGUGCUGGUAUGAUCGCAUGUGUUACUACAUGCAAUGUAAUCGUAUCUAUUCUUUUUUAAAGACUUUAUGAUCCAUUUGCCGUGGGUCC